CGGAACGUAGUUCAGUUGGUAGAACACUCGGCUUAUAUCCGAGCGGUCGCAGGUCCGAUUCCUGCCGUUCCGA
rnacentral:tRNA from 1 species